AAAUGAAUAGACGGGGGCCCGCACAAGCGGAGGAACAUGUGGUUUAAUUCGAUGAUACGCGAGGAACCUUACCUGGGCUUAAAUUGCAAUUGACGGAGGCCGAAAAGCCUCUUUCUUCGGACAAUUGUGAAGGUGCUGCAUGGUUGUCGUCAGCUCGUGCCGUGAGGUGUCGGCUUAAGUGCCAUAACGAGCGCAACCCUCAUUAUUAGUUACUAACAGGUUAAGCUGAGGACUCUAAUAAGACUGCCGUCGUAAGAUGUGAGGAAGGUGGGGAUGACGUCAAAUCAGCACGGCCCUUACGUCCAGGGCCACACACGUGUUACAAUGGGUGAAACAGAGGGCAGCUACCUAGCGAUAGGAUGCUAAUCCCAUAAAAUCACUCUCAGUUCGGAUUGAAGUCUGCAACUCGACUUCAUGAAGCUGGAUUCGCUAGUAAUCGCGCAUCAGCCACGGCGCGGUGAAUACGUUCCCGGGCCUUGUACACACCGCCCGU
rnacentral:rRNA from 1 species